rnacentral:rRNA from 1 species
AGACACGGCCCAGACUCCUACGGGAGGCAGCAGUAGGGAAUCUUCCGCAAUGGACGAAAGUCUGACGGAGCAACGCCGCGUGAGUGAUGAAGGUUUUCGGAUCGUAAAGCUCUGUUGUUAGGGAAGAACAAGUGCCGUUCAAAUAGGGCGGCACCUUGACGGUACCUAACCAGAAAGCCACGGCUAACUACGUGCCAGCAGCCGCGGUAAUACGUAGGUGGCAAGCGUUGUCCGGAAUUAUUGGGCGUAAAGGGCUCGCAGGCGGUUUCUUAAGUCUGAUGUGAAAGCCCCCGGCUCAACCGGGGAGGGUCAUUGGAAACUGGGGAACUUGAGUGCAGAAGAGGAGAGUGGAAUUCCACGUGUAGCGGUGAAAUGCGUAGAGAUGUGGAGGAACACCAGUGGCGAAGCGACUCUCUGGUCUGUAACUGACGCUGAGGAGCGAAAGCGUGGGGAGCGAACAGGAUUAGAUACCCUGGUAGUCCACGCCGUAAACGAUGAGUGCUAAGUGUUAGGGGGUUUCCGCCCCUUAGUGCUGCAGCUAACGCAUUAAGCACUCCGCCUGGGGAGUACGGUCGCAAGACUGAAACUCAAAGGAAUUGACGGGGGCCCGCACAAGCGGUGGAGCAUGUGGUUUAAUUCGAAGC